rnacentral:rRNA from 1 species
GACGAACGCUGGCGGCGUGCUUAACACAUGCAAGUCGAACGGAAAGGCCCUGCUUUUGUGGGGUGCUCGAGUGGCGAACGGGUGAGUAACACGGGAGUAACCUGCCCUUGACUUUGGGAUAACUUCAGGAAACUGGGGCUAAUACCGGAUAGGAGCUCCUGCUGCAUGGUGGGGGUUGGAAAUUUUAGGCGGUUGGGGAUGGACUCGCGGCUUAUGAGCUUGUGGGUGGGGUAGUGGCUUACCAAGCGUUUGACGGGUAGCCGGCCUGAGAGCGUAGACGGGGACAAUGGGACUGCGAGAGGGAGCAGUGUCCAACAGGAGGCAGCGGGCGGAAGUAUUACACAAUGGGCGGAAGCGUGUGGCAGAAGCGUCGGGUGCGGAAUGACGGCCUUCGGGUUGUAAACCGCAGUCGCCUGUGACGAAGCGUGAGUGACGGUAAUGGGUAAAGAAGCACCGGCUAACUACGUG